rnacentral:rRNA from 1 species
UACGUAGGGUGCAAGCGUUAAUCGGAAUUACUGGGCGUAAAGCGCACGUAGGUGGUUUUCUAAGUCAGCUGUGAAAUCCCCGGGCUCAACCUGGGACUUGCAGUUGAAACUGGAAAGCUAGAGUAGGGUAGAGGGGUGUGGAAUUCCAGGUGUAGCGGUGAAAUGCGUAGAUAUCUGGAGGAACAUCAGUGGCGAAGGCGACACCCUGGACUCAUACUGACACUGAGGUGCGAAAGCGUGGGGAGCGAACAGG